GAUUUGCUCUAACUGUAAAAAAAAAAACCAAAACCUUUUCUUUGCCUUAGAUGAAAUCUCCUUUAUUCCAGCCUAAAUGUGUGACCUCAUGUCCUAUGUAUAGCCCUGUUUAUGAAUAGAUUUCCAGAUAAUGGUUUGUACUGGCCCCGAAUAUAUUUGUAUAAUGUUAUCAUAUCCCCUCUCAGGCAUCGUUUUUCCAAACUAAAGAGAUUUAAAUGUUUUUACCUUUCUUCAUAACUAAAAUGCUCCAUUCCUUUUAUCAAUUUUGUAGCUCGUCUCUGCACUUUUUCUAGUGCCAUGAUA
rnacentral:lncRNA from 1 species